CUGGUCCGUGUGGAGUUUCUUGUUGAGCUUGUCCAGAGCCUGGGAGGUCAGGUCAUCAGGAGCAGGGUCCACCACUUUACCACUCCAGAGUACCUGGGGGGAGAAGGUGGGGGGAUCAGAGAUACAGGUGAGGUGUCCUGUGGUCACAAGGUCAGAAAGACAGGUCAAGGAAGGGUAAUUAGAUAGACAGGUGAUAAAUAGGUCAAGGAAGGGUAAUUAGAUAGACAGGUGAUAGACAGGUCAAGGAAGGGUAAUCAGAUAGACAGGUGAUAGACAGGUCGAGGAAGGGUAAUCAGAUAGACAGGUGAUAGACAGGUCAAGGAAGGGUAAU